GCGAACGGGUUAGUAACGCGUGGGAACAUACACAGCACAGGGGGAUAACCAUUGGAAACGAUGGCUAAUACCGCAUACGCCCUAUUGGGGAAAGAUUUAUCGGUGUUGGAUUGGCCCGCGUUAGAUUAGCUAGUUGGUGGGGUAAUGGCUCACCAAGGCGACGAUUUAUAGCUGGUUUGAGAGGAUGAUCAGCAACACUGGAACUGAGACACGGUCCAGACUCCUACGGGAGGCAGCAGUCGGGAAUAUUGUGCAAUGGGGGCAACCCUGACACAGCCAUGCCGCGUGAGUGAAGAAGGCCUUAGGGUUGUAAAGCUCUUUCAGAUGUGAGGAUGAUGACGAUAGCAUCAGAAGAAGCUCCGGCUAACUUCGUGCCAGCAGCCGCGGUAAUACGAAGGGAGCUAGCGUUGUUCGGAAUUACUGGGCGUAAAGGGCGUGUAGGCGGAUUAUCAAGUUAGGGGUGAAAUCCCGGGGCUCAACCUCGGCACUGCCUUUAAGACUGAUAAUCUAGAGUAUGUGAGGGGAU
rnacentral:rRNA from 1 species